rnacentral:rRNA from 1 species
CUGCGAGUGAACAGGGAUAAGCCCAGCACCGAAUCCUGUGGUCAUUUGGCUACUAGGAAAUGUGGUGUUCAGGUUGUUCCGCAAGGGUACUGCUCCAUCCCAAGUCCAUCUUUGAGUGCGGUAGUAUGGACCUGGCCCAUAGAGGGUGAAAGGCCCGUGGGGGUGGAGACCAGGUAGGCCAGUACCUUUCUGGAUAGACCUUGGAGUCGGGUUGUUUGUGAAUGCAGCCCAAAGUGGGUGGUAAACUCCAUCCAAGGCUAAAUACUAGCACGAGUCCGAUAGCAAACAAGUACCGUGAGGGAAAGUUGAAAAGUACUUUGAAGAGAGAGUAAACAGUGCGUGAAACCGGUCAGAGGUAAACGGGUGGAGUUGAACUGCAAGCUCUGGGAAUUCAGCUGGUGAGCGUGGUUUGAGCUUGGUUAAAUUGGUUGGACCCUGGAGUCUGCGUAGCAGCAGGCCUUCGCCUUUCGGGGUGGGGGUGCGCGAUGCACUUGUCAAGUGUUGUGCGCUCUAGGUGUUUCAUCGGGCCAGUUCGCCAGUGCACUUUUCCAGAGUGGUCACCACGACGGGCAUUGCUGUCUGGCUGUUGCGGUUAAACCGGUUUCGCUUUGUCCUUGUGGCAUCGUGAGAUCGGGAUGGCAGGUAGCUCGUUGGCUUGUUUGUAGUCCUCGUGGCUGCAGGCGUUUGGUCUUCGAGUGUAAUCAGCUGACUGCAUCGGUUCUGUGCGGUAUGUCCGAGACGGCGGCUUAUGUGUGUGCGUGCGUACGGGUACGUUCGACGCAUUCGGGUUCUGGUUGUUUAGUAGCCUGUGUUGGCAGGCCUAAUGAUGUCCCGUUUGUGUUUGUUCGGCGGUUGCGUGCGUGACAUGGAUAUUUUUCUCAUGGGCCAACAGUCUGUGGUGUAGUGGUAGACUAUCCACCUGACCCGUCUUGAAACACGGACCAAGGAGAGUAACAUGUGCGCGAGUCAUUGGGCGUUACGAAACCCAAAGGCGUAGUGAAAGUGAAGGCUGGGCUUGUCCUGGCUGAGGUGAGAUCCUGUCGUGUCUCAUGCGCGGUACUACCAAGCUUUGAGCGGCAGGCGCAUCGCCGGCCCGUCCUAUGACAAUUGUUUUCGAGCAUUUUACAGUCGGGGCGGAGCAUGAGCGUACAUGUUGAGACCCGAAAGAUGGUGAACUAUGCUUGCGCAGGUUGAAGCCAGAGGAAACUCUGGUGGAGGACCGAAGCGGUUCUGACGUGCAAAUCGAUCGCCAGACGUGAGUAUAGGGGCG